rnacentral:rRNA from 1 species
GUGCCAGCCGCCGCGGUAACACGGGGGGAGCAAGCGUUGUUCGGAUUCAUUGGGCGUAAAGGGCGCGUAGGCGGUUUGGCAAGUCCGACGUGAAAUGUACCGGUUCAACCGGGGCGCUGUGUCGGAAACUGCCUUACUUGAGGUCGAGGGAGGAAAGUGGAAUUCCUGGUGUAGCGGUGAAAUGCGUAGAUAUCAGGAGGAACACCCGUGGCGAAGGCGGCUUUCUAUCUCGAAACUGACGCUGAGGCGCGAAAGCUAGGGGAGCAAACGGGAUUAGAUACCCCGGUAGUCCUAGCCGUAAACGAUGGGCACUAGGUGUGGGAGGUAUCGACCCCUUCCGUGCCGGAGCUAACGCAUUAAGUGCCCCGCCUGGGGAGUACGGUCGCAAGAUUGAAACUCAAAGGAAUUGACGGGGGCCCGCACAAGCGGUGGAGCAUGUGGUUUAAUUCGACGCAACGCGAAGAACCUUACCGGGGCUUGAACUGCAGAGUGCAGCUCUAGAAAUAGAGUGUGCCCUUCGGGGCGUUCUGUAGAGGUGCUGCAUGGCUGUCGUCAGCUCGUGUCGUGAGAUGUUGGGUUAAGUCCCGCAACGAGCGCAACCCUUGUCGUUAGUUGCCAUCAGGUUAAGCUGGGCACUCUAACGAGACUGCCGGUGGUAAACCGGAGGAAGGUGGGGAUGACGUCAAGUCCUCAUGGCCCUUACGUCCCGGGCUACACACGUGCUACAAUGGCCGGUACAAUGGGAAGCAAUGCCGCGAGGUGGAGCCAAUCUCAAAAAACCGGUCUCAGUUCGGAUCGGAGUCUGCAACUCGACUCCGUGAAGUUGGAAUCGCUAGUAAUCGUGGAUCAGCAUGCCACGGUGAAUACGUUCCCGGGCCUUGCACACACCGCCCGUC